rnacentral:rRNA from 1 species
GACGAACGCUGGCGGCGUGCUUAACACAUGCAAGUCGAGCGGUAAGGCCCUUUCGUGGGUACACGAGCGGCGAACGGGUGAGUAACACGUGGGUGACCUGCCCUCAGCUCUGGGAUAAGCCUGGGAAACCGGGUCUAAUACCGGAUAUGACUCCAUGACGCAUGUUGUGGGGUGGAAAGCCUUGUGCGGCUGAGGAUGGGCCCGCGGCCUAUCAGCUUGUUGGUGGGGUGANGGCCUACCAAGGCGACGACGGGUAGCCGGCCUGAGAGGGCGACCGGCCACACUGGGACUGAGACACGGCCCAGACUCCUACGGGAGGCAGCAGUGGGGAAUCUUGCGCAAUGGGCGAAAGCCUGACGCAGCGACGCCGCGUGAGGGAUGACGGCCU